CCUGCUCAUUAAUGGGUACUUUGGAGGGCAGAUGGAUGACACAUAAAGCAAUAGAAUUCUGCAUGUUUGCCCAAUGAAAGCAGCCCAGCACAAGCUCCCAGUGAACUAGAGCUGCCUUUUGCUCUCUCCUGUCCACUGUCUGUUUCUAUUCAUGUCCUUCUUCCAAAAAGGAAAACUAUUUCACCAGAGCCAACAAGGCCAGCACAUGAAACAAAGUUUGAGGCACAAGAUAUUAUAGUUAGAUAUCUGGUGCUAAGGACUCUCCUUGUCAGCCCACAGGGGCCUGCUUCAGAAUUCCAAGUCAAAAAACUGCAGCAUUUCCAUUUUUAACUUGUUUUACCUUUGCGGCCAUGAAAUAAAAAGGCAGCUGGAAUUAAAUGAUGGGCCUCACUGUCUGUUUUUGCUAUAGGUGGGAACUGCAAGAUACAUGGCUCCAGAAGUCCUAGAAUCCAGGAUGAAUUUGGAGAAUGUUGAGUCCUUCAAGCAGACCGAUGUCUACUCCAUGGCUCUGGUGCUCUGGGAAAUGACAUCUCGCUGUAAUGCAGUGGGAGGUAGGUGUGGACCAGCAUCAUUGUGUAGUGGUAAACUUGUCUUCAAAAUAAGAUC
rnacentral:lncRNA from 1 species